rnacentral:lncRNA from 1 species
CUUAUUUUCAUGUCUCCAUCCUUCCCAGUCACAGGAAGUUCCUGAGGUUUGCUUUCAGGGGCAAAGCUUACCAAUAUCGGGUCCUUCCCUUCGACCUAGCACUCUCACCCCGUACUUUCACAAAGUGUGUAGAUGCUGCUCUGGCUCCCCUGCGACUCCAGGGCAUCCGCAUACUCAAUUACAUCGACGAUUAGUUGAUUUUAGCUCAAUCAGAGCAGAUGGCGGUUCGGCAUUGAGAUGUUGUUCUCGCUCAUAUGAAAGAGUUGGGGUUAAGACUAAACGCCAAGAAAAGUGUGCUUGCUCCAUUACAGAGGACCACUUAUCUGGGCGUGGUAUGGGAUUCGACCAUGAUGCAGGCACAUUUGUCGCCUGCUCGGAUCGAGUCGAUCCUCACUGCAGUCGCGAGAGUCAGAGAAGGCCGGUCACUCACUGUCAAGCAGUUUCAAAAGCUGCUGGGUCUGAUGGCAGCUGCGUCCAACGUGAUAGCUCUUGGCCUGCUGUACAUGAGACUCCUAUAGUGGUGGCUCAAGACCAAGGGGCUCUCCCCGAGGGGAAACACACUUCGCAUGAUCAAGGUCACGCGGCAAUGCCUACGUGCCUUAGACAUGUGGAGGAAACAUUGGUUCUUGUCUCAGGGCCCGGUGCUGGGAGCUCCUUGUUGCCGCGUAACGCUAGCGACGGAUGCAUCCCUCACCGGUUGGGGAGCGGUCAUGAAUGGCCACCCUGCCCGCAGUCUGUGGAGUGGUCGCCAUCUCACGUGGCACAUCAACUGCCUGGAGAUGCUGGGCGUGUUUCGAGCCCUCAAACACUUUCUUCCAGACCUAAGAGAUCGCCAUGUGUUGGUGCGCACCGACAACACAGCGGUGAUCUUUUAUAUCAACCACCCCGAGGUGGUGAAGCAGAUAUGGAGAGUUUUUGGCCAGGCUCAGGUGGACUUGUUUGCGACCUGUCAGACAUCGCAAUGUCCCCUCUGGUUCUCUCUGACUCAUCCAGCUCCACUGGGGCUGGAUGCUAUGGUACAGACUUGGCCGAGGCUUCGUCUGUACGCCUUUCCCCCGAUCGCUCUGCUCCCGGGAGUUCUAGAGAGAGUGCGUCGGGACGGGGUCCAUCUAUUCUUUCCUCAACGGCACUCCAUGGGAGAUUCCCAUCAGGAGAGAUCUCCUCUCACAGGCGGGUCAUGGUGCGGAGACCGCCUG